AUCCUGCCUGCUGCCGAGUAAGCAGUCUAGCUGAGGCUCAGGCUGCAGUGCAGCCCAAAUGGGGCUGUUUGGCCCCGAGCCAUCAGUAUUGGUCCAAAUUAGCUCACAGCUGAAUAUAGUGGGUCAGCGUUGAGUUGCUGACUGCUUUUUGUGAGGCUUUUUUUGUCGUGGUCUUUUAUACAGGGCUGAAUUUACAUCUGGAGAGCGAUUUCUUAAAACCCAUCGGUGGUGGAAACUUCGGACAACAACAAAGGGUUGAAGUUGAUCCUUCCUUCAGUCUGCUGCAGUGCCAGGGCUAACCAUGCCAAUCAUGGUUCCUGCUUCAGAAUCAGACUAACAAGAGUAAUGGAGGAUCCCCAGAGGGUUAACACCCGGGUCCCAGCACAGGCCGUGGUAAUGGCGAGUCACAGAGAGUUAACAUUCCUUCCUCCUGAUGUAGGAUAAAACUGGUUUUCUUAUUCUUAUGGGGUCCAAACUCCCCCUCUUGUGUAUAUUUUAGUUUUUUUUUUAGUCUCUUCAUUUUUAUGGUAUGUGGUAAAGAUGACUCUGGGGCUGAUGUGCGCCGUGUGAUUUUAAUACUAUGGUAGAAAAGCUUGGGACUCUAAGCCUUGAUGAUAAGUUUCAUGUUCUUGGGAGGAUCUGGAGUAAUGCCAAACACCAUGAAGCGCCUCAGACAGACCUGACAGAUCGGAGCUGUACUGACCCACACGUCUGCGUCGUUUACAACCAACAGGUUGUUUACAAUUUACCAGGCUGAGAAGACCUGCAGCAGCAUGUCAUCCACUUGCUCACUUCCAACACAUGCAAGAUCAUGCUUUUCAGUGUUCCCACAAAUGUGUUUCUCCACUGACCCUUUCAGGACAAUUUUAGAUAGUUACAGUAACAUGUUUAGGGUAAAAUACUUUAGGAAGGGAGUGUCUCCUAAGUAUCUAUUUACAUGCUCAUAUACAACUUGACUCCACAGUCUCUUUGAUGUGAAAUUGACUAAUCAAUUGACUAGGUCUGUUUUUGUGUUUUCAUUUUCACAUGCAACACUAGUCUACAGCAACUGAUCUGUCAAUAUACACUAAACUACCAAACCACACUUUACAGUAUUUACUAAGGCUAAGAGUCCCCAAUUUCCAUAGUUACUUAAAGCUUUUGUAGUACACAGUAUUUCUUUUAUUAUUUGAUCCUUGCUUUGUUUAAUUUUUAGCUUCUGUUUUGGCUCUUUUGCUUUGCCAGUAUAUUAAAGUGUAAUCAUGUUCGUUGUGAUAUAGAAGUAGCUGUAGAAACCGCAUUUUUUCCUUGUGGUAAGUGAUUGAUAUGCUGCCACGGAUUUGAGACACUGAUGAAUGGUGCUAUUUUGGACUUAAAUCUGCUCCUUGGUAAGGUAGCCGAAAUGGUUUUUAUUUCAUAUCUUCAUGUUCUGAAGAAGGUGUUUGGUUCUUUGUUGUAUGGUUGUCGUAUCUUGGUCUGGAUGGACUUUUUUUUCCCUCUUCCUCCUCUUUUCCCCCAAUGAGUAUGUUUUUAUGCACAUUACUAAUCCAAUCCUGGAAAGAUUUCUGCAAUUCUCUGAUUUUUAAUUGGCCAUGUGAACAUUAUACUUGGAUAAUUGAAAUUGGACUAUGGCUGUUGACUGAUUUUGAGAAAUUUAAUUAGUGUGUUUAACCUCCAUUAUUGUAUUUCUACAGCUGCACAUGUGGGGAGACGUCACUUGGGUCUGCACCUAGUCUAACAAAGUUCUUGGACAGUAUGUAGGCAAGUAACUUGUGUAUAAUAAGUUCAUGGUGCACUUAGACAUUAUUUAGAACGCUGUUGUUUGCUACACUGCUGCAGUCAAAUUAGAGACAGCUUGAAGGUGCCUUACUUAUUAAUUUAUCAUUAAUCACUUUUUUUAUAUACACAGUAAAGUGUUUCUCACUGUGACAGUCAUCAAUUACUUGAGACUCAUGAAUUAAAAAAUACUAAUGUUACCACAUUAUAUGAAUUUUAGUAUAAAAUAAGACUAUGUAAAGAUAACUAAGUAAAUCGUGUAGACCCAUAAUUUUAAUUACUAGAAGUGCAGCUAUUCUACAUAAUACACAUUAAGAUCAUGAAGUAAAGGCGCUUGGGUGGUGCAGCAAUCUAAUGUGCUCGCCCACCCUGGAGACCAAAGUUAAGAAUCUCAGCAAAUUAGCUGCUCAGAAGGCGCAGCGGUAAAGUACGCUAGCACACCAGAGUUGGGGUUUCGAAUACAUCGUAUCGAAUCUCAGCUCUGCCUUUCUGACUGGGCUGGGCGGCAGCAGGAACAACGAUUGGCUGCUGUUCAGGUUUAGAGGGUAAGAAAGUCGGAUCAUAGGUCCUCAUAACUGGUGCGACUGCGGCCCCUGCUGGCUGACUGAUGGCGCCUGCACAGGGCUGAGGAAUACCGAUGGGGGUGUGGCCCUCCAUACACAGUGCCUGUCAAGUGUAUGACUCGUGCAGGUGAAAAAUGCAGUCUGUACUGACUGUAUGUGCCAGAGGGGGCGUGUGAGGUUGAAAGGUGUCCUCAGUCAGCGGUGAAGGGUCGAGGACGCAUUCAGGGUAAUUGGACACGACUAGAUUAUUGGGGGAAAAUGGGGGGGGGUAAUCUCAGCAAAUCCAGUUGGCUGUGUCUAAAGAAGUGAAAUCCAGAUAGGAAUUCACCCUUUUUCUGCUCCACAGCAUUUUCUACUGUCUGGUUGAGGCGCUUGUUCUAGUAAUGAAGCAAUGCCGAGAGCAUUGCAUGAUUCUCCAUGUGUGUUAAGACUCUUUGUAGGACUCGGGCGCCGAUUUGUGUAAAUAUGUGGUCAGCGGCUCCAGCGUGGGUGUGGUAAAUGCAGUAAAGGCUUGUAAUAGGCAGUUGGAAUGACUUAAUUAGUAGAAAAAGAAGAAAACUAAGAGACUGAAAUAGAUUCUCAUUGGCUGGGAUUUUAAUUGUAGACAUGUCUCAACCUCUCUACUGAAAGGUAAACAGCUUGAGCUCAUGUUACUCUCAUGAUGACUCUGAAAAAUCUGAAUACCCACUGGUUAAUGUAACCCAGGUUUAUUAUCAUCAGGUUAUUGCCAAAAUCUAAUUUCUAACAGUUGGAUUGUGUGACUAUUAUUCUGUGCAUGUGAACUCGCUCUCUGUCGUUUCUGUGCGGCUUUCUCUUUGGAUUUAAAGGAUGCACACCAACCAAGACCACGAGGAACAGUUAUUUAAAAAAAAUUUAAAAAAGACAAUCUUGAUAGCAAAAAAAGCGGGAGCAAUCACAAAACUCCAAUUAUUCUUGAUUUCCCCUUUGGGCUAAGAGUUAAUAAGAUGCAUUAGCUGCACCUCAUCGCUUUAGAUAUUUUGGAUAUGAUAAGUACCAAACCAUCUGUUCUCUUCAUCCUUGACCGCAAUGUGUUUGGCAUCUAAAGGAAGAAGGGUGCAUAUAUAUAUAUAUAUACACAUACACACACUGAUCAGUCAUAACUUUAAAACACCUCCUUGUUUCUACACUCACUGUCGAUUUUAUCAGCUCCACUUACCAUAUAGAAGCACUUUGUAGUUCUACAAUUACUGACUGUAGUCCAUCUGUUUCUCUACAUACUUUUUUUAACCUGCUUUCACCCUGAUUUUCAAUGGUCAGGACCCCCACAAGUCCACCACAGAGUAGGUAUUAUUUAGGUGGUGGAUCAUUCUCAGCACUGCAGUGACAUGGUGGUGGUGUGUUAGUGUGUGUUGUGCUGGUAUGAGUGGAUCAGACACAGCAGCGCUGGUGGAGUUUUUAAAAACCAUGUCCACUCACUAUCCACUUUAUAAGACUCUCCCACCUAGUUGAUCCACCUUGUAGAUGUAAAGUCAGAGACGAUCGCUCAUCUAUUGCUGCUGUUUGAGUUGGUCAUCUUCUAGACCUUCAUCCGUGGUCACAGGACACUGCCCAUGGGGCGCUGUUGGCUGGAUAUUUUUGGUUGGUGGACUAUUCUCAGUCCAGCAGUGACAGUGAGGUGUUUAAAAACUCCAGCAGCGCUGCUGUGUCUGAUCCACUCAUACCAGCACAACACCUAAAUAAUACCUGCUCUGUAGUGGUCCUGUGAGGGUCCUGACCAUUGAAGAACAGCAUGAAAGGGGGCUAACAAAGCAUGCAGAGAAACAGAUGGACUACAGUCAGUAAUUGUAGAACUACAAACCAUAUGGCAAGUGGAGCUGAUAAAAUCGACUGAGUGUAGAAACAAGGAGGUGGUUUUAAUGUUAUGGCUGAUGGGUGUGUAUAUAUAUAUAUAUUCUAACUCAAUUUUUUUUUUUUUGUUGCUUAAGUAUAAAUAUUUCCCAUUCACAAUGGCAAAUGGCACAUAGUUAUUCCUAAUGACUCUCUGGAAACAUUGUUCGAUCUGGUUCCGAGUUGCCAGCCUGCUACAUACUCCCCACCAGCAGGUAACAGGAUUCAACCAACACCCACAUCAUUCAUGAUCUGAUUCUGCUCUUUCUUAAGGUCAAAUUGUAGCACAAAUGAACAACAGGCUCGACAAUAUCUUUACAGAACGACUUUGUGAAUGAGUUGUACAUUUAAUUUCGAGGCUAGAAACAAAAGCUUUCAUUUAUUUCGAGUAGUCUGUAACAGUGUCGUCCCUGAGUAUUUGCAGUUUUGUCCUUGCUUCCAGUUUACAUAUACUCUGAACAAUCCUAAUUCAGCGACCAACUUGAAAGCCCACAUUAGUUUUUAUGGUCUUCCAUUGUUCCACUGUAGUGGAAAUCUUCCUAGCUUGCUCUAGAUCUUCCCUAGUGCAUUGAAGGCAUGCUUUCCGCUGUGUUUCGUUCUCAUCUUCUUCCUGAAUAACUGUUUGCACUUUCUUAUAGGCUAGGUAAGCUAGCUGUUGUAAAUAGUGUAUAGAUAGGGUCUGUUGUACUGUGUUGAAAUAUUAUGAUAUAAAUAUUGGUGUUAAAAACAUUCAGCUUGUGAUCUAUAAUGAUGCAUUCUGUAUUGUUCAAGUAAUGUUUUCAAUUUAAGCAGUAGUUCAAUAAAUAUUCAAGCUCUCAA